rnacentral:rRNA from 1 species
UACAGAGGGCUCAAGCGUUGUUCGGAUUCAUUGGGCGUAAAGGGCGCGUAGGCGGCGCGGUAAGUCGGGUGUGAAAUCUCGGAGCUUAACUCCGGAACUGCAUUCGAUACUGCCGUGCUUGAGGACUGGAGAGGAGACUGGAAUUUACGGUGUAGCGGUGAAAUGCGUAGAUAUCGUGAGGAAGACCAGUGGCGAAGGCGGGUCUCUGGACAGUUACUGACGCUGAGGCACGAAGGUCAGGGGAGCAAACGGG